UACGGGGGGAGCAAGCGUUGUUCGGAUUUACUGGGCGUAAAGGGCGCGUAGGCGGCCACCGCAAGUCAGUUGUGAAAUCUCUGGGCUUAACCCAGAACGGUCAGCUGAUACUGCGGGGCUAGAGUGCAGAAGGGGCAACUGGAAUUCUCGGUGUAGCGGUGAAAUGCGUAGAUAUCGAGAGGAACACCUGCGGCGAAGGCGGGUUGCUGGGCCGACACGUGACGCUGAGGCGCGAAAGCUAGGGGAGCGAACGGG
rnacentral:rRNA from 1 species